CUUCCCAUCUCCAAGCUAGAAGGCAUCUUACAGGUUAACAGUGAGUCUUUGGAGCGAAAGAAGUCGGAAGAAAGCUAGAUACCGCCUGGCUGUAGAUUAACGGUCCUCAGACUCCGCCCUCCUCCCCGCCCCAGCGCCACCGGCCGUCAGCUGGAUCUUGAUUGGCCGAUGGAGGAGGGAGGCGGAGGCAGAGGGACUCCUCAAAUCUGGGGCCGGACUUCCUCACAUCUGGGGCUGGACUUCCUCACAUCUGGGGCCGGACUUCCUUCUUCUGGGCUUUGGGCCCUCUUCGCAUCCGCGGGGUUUUUGCUCGCUGCUGCCGCGAGGGGUCAAUUCCGAGUGAAGCGCAACACUGCUCCCGAUCUCCUCGCCUAAUCCAAAGCCUGGUUUUAACGCAAGCUGUCAGGAGAAACGGGUUUUCUUCACUAUGAAAUUUCCUCCUCCAGAACUCUUUCUAUACGUCUUACCUGCUUUCUCCCACUGGCGGUCUCAGUCCAAUCCCCGGCUCACUAGUAGUAACGACGGCAUCAGCACAGGACUAGGUGGUUUACUAAUUGCACUCUCGGCGUUUUCUCAUUUGAUACUUGAAAGAGCCAGCCCCUUCCUUCCUCUCCCCCUGCGGUCCUUUCUCGCUGUGCUUUUGCCCUCUCCGCCUUUACAGCCCUCAGCUUACAACAGUCUGGCAGAGGAGCUGAAAGGGUGUUUCGCGGUCUUCCAGCUUCCAGAGCACUUCACCUCGUGUAGCUGCUUCUUUGGGCAGCUGACACUCAUUUUAUUGAACCUCUGGUACAGCUGAUUAUACCUCAUUGAAAUACUCUCUUAACUUCCACAACAUACUCCCCUCGUUUUUCCUACAUAUUGGCUGCUUCAUGUCUGUCUCCUUUGCUAAUCCCUUUCCCUCAACCAGACCUCUCAAUGUGGGAGGACUUUCUUUCUUUUUUCCUAUCUUUUCCAAUCUCAUGGCUUAAUUAUCAGCUACAUGCUGAUUCUCAAUAUUAUAACCCCAGCCUGCCCUUCUCCCCUGAACUCCAGACUGUAUUGCCAUUUGUCCUCCUGAUGAUAUCUCCAUACAGAUGCCUAAAUGGCAUGUUUUUUUUUAAU